rnacentral:rRNA from 1 species
GGACAAGAAUAGGCUUCGGCUUAGCGUCUAAGCAGGCGGAUUCUCCACGGCGCAGGAAGCGCGUCGUGGUAUUUCGCGUAUUGUAAUUUCAACACGAGCGGGGUCAAAUCCUUUGCAGACGACUUAGCUGUGCGAAACGGUCCUGUAAGCAGUAGAGUAGCCUUGUUGUUACGAUCUGCUGAGGGUAAGCCGUCCUUCGCCUCGAUUU